UAUAGUGUAAGGCUGAAUCUCAAUUAUUGAGUACGGAGUAACCAAUUAAAGAGGUUAAUCUGGGCUUUUUCUAUAUUGCAGUGAGCAAUUGAUUUUUUUAGCACAGUAGGUAGUGACUUUAAAACUAAACCUGACAGCUAACUCCGGAAGCCAGAAGGGAGGGGGA
rnacentral:sRNA from 1 species